rnacentral:lncRNA from 1 species
GUGGGUCUGAAUGCAAUCAUGGACAAACAGAGAUCUUUCAAGGUCUUUUAAAAAAUAAGAUAAAAGGAUUACGGGGAAACAAAGUCCUUGAGGGCCAAGGGGUAGAACUAUGCCACCAGAGUGCUAAGGGUUGAGUUGGAUGUAGAAACUGAAAGUCGGUACUGCUCUAAACGAAUCGAUUUUAAUCAGAUUCUAAAAAAAAACUUUGUGUUACCAUUUCAGACAAGAGCCUUUAUGCUGAAGACACCCAUGCCUGCCCAUCGCCCACUACUAAUACCAGGAAAUAAUAUAUUCGAUACAGAGCUUGGAAUGUACAUGAAAGUAGUCCUCGAAAUGGAGAAAAUGUAUAACGAUGUUGGUGAUCUGGACGUUGAUAUGCAAUGACUGCACCAUCAAGUGGCCCAUGCGACACCAAGCCAAAGCCUGUUACACGCGGAACCCAGCAGAACGCAGCCCUCCUCCCGCCCAACCGACCGAGGGGCGCUGCCGCAUGACGCGAGGCGCGAUUAACCGAACCGGUCGCAAGCAUGCAGGAAAGAUAGAGUUUAGGCUAAUAUUCGAGGAAAAUUAGAGCUAAACACAACUAGACUAGAGCUACUAUAGCUAAGCAAGCAAAAAUCAGAAACAAGACAAAACUAAAAUGAAACUAACUACGGGAGAGGUAGGCUAGUAUAAGCGAUUUAAGAAGACUACCACAUUAUAUCCUCAACUAACUCCCUUCAGUUGAGGAUAUAAUGUGGUAGAGGGAAUUAUAAUCCGAGCAUAAAACCCGAAAGGGUUCGUGUGAGGCAUAAUUCGGUCUAGAUAGUGGAAGGAACAAAGGAAUAAAGUUUCUAGUGGGUCUAAUGGGAAUCGUACAGUUUAUGCGGCUCAGCAAGUCAGGGCUGUCUACAUCCCCCUUGAUCAAGUUGUGCUUAAAAAUUACAAAAAACAUUUUUCUACGACUAACUAAGGAUGGAAGAUUUAUUAAAAGACGUCUACUACGGUAGGAUGGCAGUCUUACAGUUGCAUCCCAGUUGAGGCCCCGUAGGGCAAAUAAUAAAAAGUUUUUCUGUACUGAUUCAAUACGGUCCUGAUGUAUGUUGUACUGAGGCACCAUACACAUGAGCCGUAUUCUAAAAUCGGACGAACAAGCGAGAUAUAGAGAGUCUUCGUUAUAUAGGGGUCAUCAAAUUCCUUUGACCACCUCUUUAUAAACCCAAGCACACCCAUGGCUUUAUUUACCAUGGUAGAAAUGUGUUCAGAAAACUUUAACUUGGGGUCUUGUUUAACACCUAGAUCAUCAACCAAUGUAAUUCUCUCAAGAGAACUACCGCAGAGGGUGUAAGAAGCCAGGAAGGGGCUGGAGCGAUAAAAAGUCAUUACAUGGCACUUCGAGGCAUUAAGUUGUAACAUAUUUGCACAGCACCAUGACUGAAAGCUAUUGAGAUCAGAUUGCAAGCGACUGUUAAAUGAAAUGUCCUUAUACUGGACACAUAGUUUAACAUCAUCCGCAUACAUAAGUACUCGAGAAUUUGUUAAUACAGAAGGCAGGUCAUUAAUAAAGAGUGUGAAAAGUAAGGGGCCUAAAUGGCUACCCUGUGGUACUCCAGAAGUAACCACCCACACCGAGAGCACUCUGCGGAAAUUCUCCCAGUGGCAUGCAAUGGCAGCAUGAAGUCAAGUCAUGGCUGAAGUACAUAGAACUCUACAAAGGACACGAGACGUACAAAAAAGACUUGGUAAGAAAAAUAUUGGGAAAAAUGGUCGAUCAUCUGAAUGCCUCUUCUAAAUUGUAUUUGCAGCAUAAUAUAUGCACAAAGUUAAUAGAUGUUGUGAUUGAUAUAUGUAGGCCAGUCAAAGCCUGAGG